AUACGGAGGGUGCGAGCGUUGUCCGGAUUUAUUGGGUUUAAAGGGUGCGUAGGUGGCUGUUUAAGUCAGUGGUGAAAUACGGUUGCUCAACAAUCGAGGUGCCAUUGAUACUGAAUAGCUUGAAAUAAUUGGAGGCUGCCGGAAUGGAUGGUGUAGCGGUGAAAUGCAUAGAUAUCAUCCAGAACACCGAUUGCGAAGGCAGGUGGCUACGAUUCAUUUGACACUGAGGCACGAAAGCAUGGGGAGCAAACAGGAUUAGAUACCCUGGUAGUCCAUGCCGUAAACGAUGAGGACUCGCUGUUUGGCUGUCACGGCUGAGCGGCUUAGGGAAACCGUUAAGUCCUCCACCUGGGGAGUACGCCGGCAACGGUGAA
rnacentral:rRNA from 1 species